UACGUAGGGUGCAAGCGUUAAUCGGAAUUACUGGGCGUAAAGGGUGCGCAGGCGGCCCCGCAUGUCAGGCGUGAAAUCCCCGGGCUCAACCUGGGAAUGGCGCUUGAAACUACGGGGCUGGAGUGUGGCAGAGGGAGGUGGAAUUCCACGUGUAGCGGUGAAAUGCGUAGAUAUGUGGAGGAACACCGAUGGCGAAGGGAGCCUCCUGGGCCAACACUGACGCUCAUGCACGAAAGCGUGGGUAGCAAACAGG
rnacentral:rRNA from 1 species